UACGUAGGGGGCGAGCGUUGUCCGGAAUUACUGGGCGUAAAGGGUGCGUAGGCGGCCUGACAAGUCGGAUGUGAAAUACCCGUGCUUAACAUGGGGGUGUCAUUCGAAACUGUUGGGCUUGAGUGUGGAAGAGGUAAGUGGAAUUCCCGGUGUAGCGGUGAAAUGCGUAGAGAUCGGGAGGAACACCAGUGGCGAAGGCGACUUACUGGGCCACAACUGACGCUGAGGCACGAAAGCGUGGGGAGCAA
rnacentral:rRNA from 1 species